GACGAACGCUGGCGGCGUGCUUAACACAUGCAAGUCGAACGGAAAGGCCCUGCUUUUGUGGGGUGCUCGAGUGGCGAACGGGUGAGUAACACGUGAGUAACCUGCCCUUGACUUUGGGAUAACUUCAGGAAACUGGGGCUAAUACCGGAUAGGAGCUCCUGCUGCAUGGUGGGGGUUGGAAAGUUUCGGCGGUUGGGGAUGGACUCGCGGCUUAUCAGCUUGUUGGUGGGGUAGUGGCUUACCAAGGCUUUGACGGGUAGCCGGCCUGAGAGGGUGAGCGGCCACAUUGGGACGGAGAUACGGCACAGACUCCUACGGGAGGCAGCAGUGGAGAAUAGUGCACAAUGGGCGGAAGCCUGAUGCAGCAACGCCGCGUGCGGGAUGACGGCCUUCGGGUUGUAAACCGAUUUCGCCUGUGACGAAGCGUGAGUGACGGUAAUGGGUAAAGAAGCACCGGCUAACUACGUG
rnacentral:rRNA from 1 species